rnacentral:rRNA from 1 species
CAAUGUGAUUUUGCUGGCAGUCGGGGUAACUUGGCCACUAGUCAGAGUCAACACACAGCAUUGAUCGGUGCAGCGUUACAAACUUUAGUGUUUAGUAAUAUCAAUGGUAUAUUGGCAGCAAUGUUGGUAUACCUCCUUUAGCCUAGGAUGCAAGUCCCAUUGACUUGGGCUUAUCUUCCAAUUGAGAUGACUAUAAUGUUGGGGCAACUUGACACUAUGGUUGAGCCAUAGAGGGUGAAAGUCCCCUAACGUCCAGGUAUUGAUAUUACGAACUAGAGAGCCAGCAAUGGCAUUUUGUUAGAGUCGGGUUGCUUGAGAGUGCAACCUAAAGAGCGAGGUAAACUGCUCGUAAGGCUAUUAGAGAAAUAUCGCUAUGACACCGAUAGCAAACAAGUACCGUGAGGGAAAGUUGCAAAGUACUUUGAAGAGAGAGUUAAACAGGGCGUGAAACCGCUAGCUGGUAAACGAGUAGAGCCACGAAGUCGUUUCGUAGAAUAAGAGAUACAGAUUCAGUUAGGGUCAUUUUUUUGGCUUUGGUGCAUUUCUGUUCGUCUCUCUAUGUAUGCGUACACUGCAACCAAUUAGACGAUCAAUUGUGGAAAUAGCUGGCCAACAUUAGGAGAAAUCUUGGUGCUGGUUAGCAAAAUGUUUAUAUGCCCUCUAUAGGUUGCUUGAUUUGGCCCUAGUGGUCAUCUUGAGUGUAUGAUAGGGAGGCAUGAGAGCUACAAUUGAAUACUGAUUGGCACAAUGAAAAUCCAUUCUUGCGAAUGGUCCUAGAUAACACUACCUGUGUCGUGUAUGUGUACAAGUAUUUAUUAUUAGCGUAAGACUGGUAGUUUUAAAUUUAGACUGGUAGGCUAUCUUGGGUUUCGGCCCUUGAUGCCUAUUCAGCUUUCUAUCUAAUUGGCUAUCAACUUUGCUAGUAAUCUUGUGCUUGUCAAUGGUAGCACACAUGCGACAAUAGGCAAGUAAUCUUAUUAGCAGUGAGUAGGUCGCU